UCUGUCCGUUAAAUGCCAAGGAAGUAACAAGCAAUCCACUAUAUAGUAUGCAAGGAGAGUGAUGUGUUCAUGGCAUCUCAUGGAGGAAACAUGGGCUGCGCAAUUCAGGGUCACAGAGCUUAUGAAGGACAUAAGAAGCUUAUAACACCAAACAAAAGGCAAAUGCUCCCAUACUUUUUGAACAAAACAAUGACUGAGACAGAGUCUGAGAAGAUGAUGAAGAAAUUUCACAGUCAAUCUCUAGGACAGCGAGAAAUAAGGGUUAGCAGAGCUGGAAGAGAUGUUACAAAGUAUCCUGUUCCUGAGUGUAUGUGCA